rnacentral:lncRNA from 1 species
CAAAGCAAACUAAAUGGUGAGCAUCACACCUACAUUCAAAAAGGCGGCAACUUCGUCUUGCUUCUUGGUAAGCUAAUUUGUUUCUGAAUGCUCUCUUUAUUCUGUGAUCCUUUCUCUUAGCAUGAAAAAACUUGCAGUGCUUUUCUUUGUUCAAUAUGAUUAAGGUUUUUUGUAUGAUGGCUGCUAGGUUUUUUUGUAUUCAUCAACCAAAAUCCUCCUCUUAUUAGUGGCUACUCCCUCUUUAUAUUGUGAAAGGGUUUAUGAUGUUGUUGUAUGACACAAAAGUAAUGGAAUUAUUCAACUUUUUUUAUACCAAGAGAUGUUUUAACAAUUUACUGAAAGAUCUGCUAUGUUGAUGUUUUAAGUAACCUGCAUUUUUACUUUCUUGUUUGAUACUAAUAUGUUUUGCCUCUACACACAUGUUUAACAAGAUAAAAACAAAAAAACCUGUUAUGCUCUUACACAUUAAGAGCCAAGAGGGUCAAGCCAAAAAAAGUCAGUAAACUUCAAAAGAGGGACCACACAUAAAGAUGUUUUUUUUUUUGUAAUUUUGUUGGAUUUAAUGUAAAACAAAUGUAUUAUUUAUUAUAAAUGUAAAAUUUAUUAUGUUUGUAAUUUUUAUUAUUUCAUGAUUUAUAAAUUAAUGUAAAAGGGAAAAUAAAAUCUUUUUUAAAAAUUUUAAUGUAACCAGAACUUCUACUUAUAAAAAAAAAGAUCAAAUAUUUUGACUUUCUUUAAUCAAAUUAAAUAGAAUUAAAAGCAGAGAUGAAAUUAUCAUACUUAAUAUUACUUGACUCUAAUUCAAUUCAAAUCAAGCAUUAUUAUUAUUAAUACCACUCAAUACAGUGAAACCAAAAUAAAACUUACACAUGUAAAUCAAAGAGGCUUUCUUGUUAGGACUUAGUAAAUAAAAAACAAGACAAGACAAAAUCAAAUAGCACUUACUUUGAAAUAUAAUGCAAAGAUAUAGUUAGAAUUCAUUAAGGCUAAGUCUUAAAGAUCACAAAACAAAAUCUCAAAUCACUCAUGCUAUCAAGCAUCCAAAGCAAUGCAUGAAGGUUCAUAAUGAACCUUAAACCAAUAAUUUGACAGAGACUAAAUGAGAUUCAUCACCAAUAUUGAUUAUGAGCACGUGAUGAAUAAGAGAAUACAGGGAUUGGUCCGAACAAAUAAAUCAUUUAUGACCAAAUGAAAUGGUCAUAAGGAAUCGAUUAAAAAAAAUGAAAUACAAAUGAAUGGGGUGGGGGGAAAUUUAGGGUACGACAGCCAUCAUGGAAACUCAACCUCCUUCGACCAAGAAAGAACUCCAAUCUUUUUUAGGGAAGAUUAAUUUUUUGAGGAGGUUUAUCUCAAACCUUAGUGGAAAGAUUUGACCAUUCUCACCGCUACUUCGCCUGAAAAAGGAAGUAUUCAAAUGGUAGCUAGAGCAUCAAAGGGUUUUCGAUGAAAUAAAAGAGUACUUGAUAAUCCUUCAGUUUUGUCCCCUCCUGUUAGAAAUAUGUGCAUGAAGUUGUAUAUUUUUGCUUCAGACUCGACUAUAGGAAGCAUGUUAGCACAAGAGGAUGAUAAUGGUAUCGAAAGGGUCAUUUAUUACCCCAGUCGAGUCUUGAACGAUGAAGAAACUAGGUAUUGUCUUAUAGAAAAGAUGUGCCUCUAUUUGUAUUUCUAGUGUAUGAAAUUAAAACACUAUAUAAAACCAGUUGAUGUUCCAGAGAAGUUCAAAUAUAGAAUUGACGGCUCUUGCUCAAAUAAUAAGGCUAACUACGAAGGUUUAUUAGUUGGUAUCGAAAUUUUGUUAGAUUUGGGGGCAAAAAGAGUCGAAAUAAGAGAAGAUUCAAAAUUAGUUGCUAAACAAAUAACAAAAGAGUAUAGAUGUAUUAAGGAAAACUUAAUCAUGUACUUUGUUGUAGCCAAUAGACUAAUCAAGUGUUUCGACUUUGUGGACAUUCAACAUGUCCCUCGACUUGAAAAUCAAAAAGAGAAUGAGUUUGGCUCAGGGUACAAAGUGUCUAAAGAAAAGUUGGAAGAUUUGACUAUAGUGCGAGGAAGGGUAAAAUCGACAAGGUUGUCUCCUUCAUAUCUAGUAAUGACAAAGUUAGGGUCAGUUGAUCCUAAAUUUUUUGAGGUUUUUGCCAUUGAAAAUUUUACUGAUGCUAACGGGCAAAGACCAAUAGUCAAGUACUUAGAGAAUUCGACAGGAUCAAUUGAUCGAAAGGUUAAGUACAAAUAUUUGAGAUAUGUUAUCAUAGGGAAUGAAUUGUUCAAGAAGACGCCUUCAGGAAUUUUUCUCAAUUGCUUUAGUGAAUGAGAGGUGUACUAGUUAUAUCGAAUGUCCAUAGCGGAGCAUGUGGUGACCAUCAAGUGGGGCACAAAAGUAGAUGGUUGUUGUGUCGACAUGGUGUUUAUUGGUCUACCAUGCUAAAAUAUUGUAUUGAGUUAUCUAAGGGUUGUCAAGAGUGUCAAGUGCAUCUGACAUUCAACAUGUCCCGACAAACGAAUUACAUGCAAUUGUGAAACCAUGGCCAUUAAGAGGAUGGACAUUGGAUUUGAUUGGUGAAAUUCGACCAGCAUCAUCUAAAACUCAGAAGUAUAUUUUGAUGGUAUUGAUUAUUUUACUAAAUGGAUAGAAGCGAUUCCUUUAGUAAAUUUUGACCAAGAAGAAAUAAUAGAGUUCAUUCAAAAACAUAAUAUUUAUAGAUUCAGAAUUCCUGAGAUUGUUACGACUGAUCGAGGAUUGACAUUCACUGGUCGAAAGAUGCAAGAAUUUGCCUUUGAAAUGGGAAUUAAGUUGUUAACAUCUACGCCUUAUUACGCCCAAGCCAAUGGUCGGGUCGAGGUAGCCAAUACAGUCAUUAUUGGUUUGAUUAAGAAACAUGUGGGGAAAAUCCAAAGAAUUGGCAUAAAACCCUAGACCAAGUCUUAUGGGCAUAUCGAACGUCUCCUAAAGAGGCGAUGAGUACUACUUCUUUUUGAUUGACUUAUAGACAUGAGGUCGUCUUACCUAUCAAAAUAUAUUUGCAAUCGACUCGAAUUCUGAGGCAAGAUGAAAUUCCAUCUGACCAUUAUUGGAAUAUGACGUUGGAUGAAAUAAUUGAUUUGGAUGAACAAAGGUUAACAACGUUGGAUGUCUUGAUAAGGCAAAAAGAGAGGUUAGCCAAGACCUAUAAUAAAAAGGUUAAGGUAAAGGCCUUUUUGGUCGGAGAAUAUGUGUGGAAGCUUAUUUUACUUAUGGAUUGAAGAGAUAGAACUUUGGGUAAGUGGUCUCCUAAUUGGGAAGGCCCAUUUCAAAUCAUUCAAGCGUUUUUGAAUAAUUCUUAUGAGAUCAAAGAGUUAGAAUCUGAUCAUCAAAUCCUGAGAGUAAAUGUUAAAUACUUAAAAAGGUAUAAACCUAUGCUACAGGAAAUUCAAAUUGCAAUAGAAUAACACGUAUAUAUGCAAAAGCGCCAAAAUGGCAUUCAUAAAAGUGCCAAAAUGGCAAAGUCAUUACAAAAUAUUGAAAGCACAAAAAAUUAAAGUACAAAUUAAACAUGGAAUUUAGAUUUGAACUCUUCAAGUUUAGUCUUCAAAAAUUUAAGCCUUGCAAUCAAACGAUCACGGGCCUCUUCUAGAAGGUUGAUUUCAAGUCCCAGGUUGAGAGUAGUUUCAGCAUGUUCAACACCUUUAAUGGCCUCCUAAUCAAUUAUUUAUCUAGUAGACAGUGAUUCCUCCCAGGAAAGCUCGGAUUUUUUCUUUUCCAGGUUGUCGAUGUCUUCGUUCAACUCAAGAAUUUUGGCACGACUUUGUGCAAUAUGUUUGCCGAGUGAAGCUUUCUUGUUUGUGUACUCUUGGAGUUUUAGUUAGAGCCUAUCAACUUCCUUUUCAGAUGCAUAACUCAAGUCCCAGGCUAUAACCAUAACAUCUUUUGUUUGUUGGAUUCGAGUGUAUUUGGUCCUUUUGAGGUCUAUGUCCCUGCAGACCUGGUUGAAAUAAGCUUCAAAGUCGAACAAGAAAUGGACCAUAGAAUCAGAGACCCGAUGUUUGUUGAGAUCGGCCAAUAAUGUUUGAAUGUAAGUUUCAAUUCGAGUGUCUCCUUCAAUGGAAUUGAUGAGAUCAACUUUAAAGACAUUUUCUUUUAGUUUCUGGAUCAAGAGGUUCACCGAUUCGUCACCUGUGUCAGCCAAUGAAGCAUCAGAGGAGUGGAAGGAUCUAGAGCCAGUCAAAAGCUUCUGGAGUUUUGGAGUCUCUUUAGAGCCUCUGUAGGGUUCUUCCUUUUAAGGGUAAGAGUUUCUUCUUGGCUCAGAGAGGUGUUGGAUGAUAAGUCAUGAACAACAGGUUGGGCUUAUUUUUCCGUAACGGUGGCACGUUGACCUUCCUUUCUUGUCGAAAUAGUUUUGACAUUCGGGAUAGUUUUCUCCUAUUCCAUUGCUUCAGAGUUUUUUGCUAGUGCUUUAUCAGAAGAUGAUUUAUCAUGAAUGAAAGCUAUGGUGUCAUCCAAUUCUUCGUUUCAUUGGGGGGACAAUUGUUCGACAUUAGCCUCCUCCUAAUAAUUUGGUUCGGUGGAGAUACUUGUACUAUCGUUGAUUGUUUUAUUCUCUAGAUGAAUAGAGGAGAGGCUAGAGGCAAUAAAGUAUGACCAAUGAAUUUAAGAAAAGGUUUCAGAAGGAAUCAAACUAUGGAUACUUGUUGAUUCGUCCACCAUGUUCUCGUCCAGCUUCGAUGGUUCCUAUAAAUGGAAAACUAGUUAGUUUUGGAGUUAAAAAAUCGAGAAGUAAAUGUGUGUAGUGUGAAGCAAUACCUUAGGAUUAUUUUCUUCAUCUGAGAGACCUUUUGGCUCAUCAUGCACUUGUUCGUUAGUGGGCAAGUUUUCUUUUCCUUUGCCUUUAUUGGAAGGACCAGCAGUCGGGGUCGUCAUUUCUUUUGGAGUGAUAAUUUUGUGAGCAACAUAUUUUUUACUAACAUUUGGUUUAGAAGGCAUCUUCAGUUUAGGUCUUGAGAAAAUCAGAGUCUUUUCACUAUCUUUUGAGCUUUCGACUUCAUUACAGCCUUUUCUGGUUUUGGAGUAGCUUGUUGAAAGAGAUUGCUUAGUUUUACUGUCAUCGAAGCCUCCAAAGCAGAAAUCAUAUACAUACCUGUGUAGUGGUAAUCUUUUUAGAUUUCUUUUUCUUCUUUGUUUUGGUAGUUGUUGGGGAGUCAGGAUCGUAUUUUCGAUUCUGAAUAGAAAGCAAUAUUUGAACCAUUUUGAAGAUCAGCUAAAUGGGAAGAAAGAAAAUUUUGCCUUUUCUGUUGGGAUUCUUCUUUUUUCUUAUCUUCACCUACAUUAUGAAGCUAGCGGAAAUAUACCCGAACGCAUCGCACGCUCGAACAUACAACAGAGUUGCCAUCAAACUUUAUUUAUUCCCAAAGGAAAGGGAAAACAUCGAUAAAACUCGGGGAAAGAGAUACUGGGUAAGGAAGUCGGUUAUGCAACCCUAACAUUUAUUGUACUCAACAAGAACCAUUUUGAUUGUUCUUUCUCGAAUGGGUGUUAUAUCUAAAGUUACUCACAAAUGAAUGAAGGAAAAAGAAUGGAAUAGAUAAAGUGCUCGGUGAGGAUUAGGGCCAUCAUGCCUACGUAUCCUUAUAUUGCAAUAAGGAAUUCUGAGCUCAUUAGUUCAUAGAACUAAUGAUGGGAGAUGAGAGAAAAGUGAUAACAAGUAUGCUUUAAACCAAAGGAUUAUAUUGUUUGACUAUAAAAAGUGUAGGUAUGUCUGAACCAACGGGAAAACUGGCAACAAGCCAAAACAAAAGGGGUACCCUGAGAUCAAUCCAAAAUAGGGGUAUACGGGCAUCAAGCCACAAAGUUGGCGUCAAGCUAAAAAUAAAGCGAUAUUGGUUCAGAAGAUGAACACUGGACAAAGCUCAAAGAAAUAGUGUAUUUGGCUCAAAUAAAGAUUAUAUCACAUGAAGUGAAUGUAGGUAGAAGAUCUUGAAUGUACGCAAUCAGUAUUGAAUAAUGUAAAGUGAAUGAUAGGGUAAACAAAAAUAAUUAAUCUGGAAAGAAUUGAAGGAUUUGGUAAAAAUGGUUGAAGGUAUAGUAUAGAACCAAAAAACAAUGGUGUUAUUGGGAUCCAUCAAGGAAAUGAAAUUUGAACCAUAGAGUAAACAAGCAUCAAACCCAAAAAGAAAUGAAUUAAGUGUUUGGCGUCGAGGAAAACUCUCUUGGUACAAAUGUGGACAUUGGUAAAUUGUUCUAAAAGGGUAUAUGUGGAAUCCCAAGGAAAAUUGGUAUUUGAUUCCAAAGAAAUAGUGUGUCACAGGGGUGAUUGUUUAUGAUUGAAGGUAGAUGUUUGAUCAUGAAAGAUAUGAAUGGUACCCUAAGGCAGAAGGAGGAAUAAUUAGGAGUUGGUUUGGAUAUGUUGAUUAGAGAUUUGGUUUAAAUAUUUAUGGUUAAAUUGUCGAGAUUAGAAUUGAUAUUAGUAUAGGAAAAGCACAUUAUAAAUAUGGUUAGAAAAAAAUGCAGCUUUAUAUAUUGAAUGUAUUUGGAAAUAAAUUGUAUGGAAAUGUUGCAAUUUUAUGGAAUGUGCAAUUGAAUUUGGUGAAAUGAAAGUGUUCAUUGUAUUUGUGGUUGAAAUUUGUUUGAACUUGUAAUGUUGUAAUGGAUUGAAUACUUAUAGAAUUGGUUUAUAAUUCUUUUUAAAAGCUAAUGAAAGUUUGUUUGAAAUGGAUCUAACUAUUAAUGAUUGAAAUGAGUUUGAAGAUUAGUUUAAUGGAAUGCAAUUGUAAAGGUUAAUGAAUUUAAAUUUCAAUUAAAAAGGUUUUGGAAAAUUAAUGUCAGAUGGUUUUAAGGGUUUGAAAAGGUUAAUGCUAAAAUGGUUUUAAUUAACUUGAAAUCGAUUUGAAAAAGUUUUGAAAUGUUAAUCAAAAAUUGAACGUGAAAGUAUUCAAUCAUGGAAAGUAUAAACGAAUAUGGGCAUUAGAAAUUGAAUUAAAUGAAAUAUGGAAAUCUAAACGGAAUUAUUCCUAUGGGAUUUAGAAAGAAUAGUUCGUAAUUGAAUGGUUUAAUGAAAAAUAAGAUGAAAUGAAGAAUGAACACAAGUUUAGGUCCAAAAAUUAGCAACAAAAAUGGAAUGACUUGGCUUGUUAAACCAUGAGAUAACUUGAACAAUACCAAAUGAGCAUGGGCUUGAAGAUAACUUAUGGGUGAUGGUUGACUUUGGUCAACUUGUUGACCAAAAAGUCAUCAGUUGACCAAAGUCAAUAGUGAAUUAGGAACUAGGGUUUUGCAUUGCUUGAUGGAGAUGCAAGGAAUUGUAAUGCCCUUAUGGUUUUGAAUGAAUAAUGACAUGGUUUGAGUGUAACAAACGACUUAUGUGGCCUUCAAAACUUACCAAGUAAAAUGAAUGCAAUUGAUCAAAGGACCAACAUACACAGAUAAAUCAAGGGUGAAUGGAUUGUAAUAUCUUAUGAACCAAAUGACAAAUCAAGGACCAAAAGACUAGUGCACCAAUGCAACAUGAAUCAAAGGCAUAUGAAUCUGGAAAGUACUAUAUGGAUGGUUGUCUAAGCAAAACCUUGAACCAAAGGAAAUCCCCAGCAAGUGGACAUGUAAGCAAAGAGCCCAUUCCCAAUGGAUUAGGGUUUUAGAUGCAUAGAUAAAAGCUCAUGAGGUCAAAGAGUAGUAAAGUCAAGAAUUAGGAUUUGAAUUCAUAAAUGAGUAUCAGGAUGUAGACUCCAUGAAUCAAGAUCCAAGAGAGCAUGAAAUUAGGGUUUGCAUUCCAUGUGAUGAGCAAUUCUCCAAUCCUCAAACAAACCCUAAUUUUAAUCAACCAUAAACUUUGAACUCGUGAUGCUUGUAUUAAUAUGAAUGCAUGAUGCAUAUGAAUGAAGCAUGAAUGGGUACAAAUGAAUCUUAAGUCAUAGGUUGAGUAAAAAGAUGAAAAGGGGAAGGGAAAUUUUGGGGUACGAUAGUUGCCCCUAUUUAAUCUACUUAAACCUAAAUGGUUGAAUUACGAGAGCUUUUCGGAUACUCGAGGUAUAAGUGGAUUAAAUACCAAAGUAUCCAAAAAGUUGCCCAUUGUAAAUGGUCAUAUGAGAUAUAGGGAUGGUAGUUUGACUUUUAAAAGAUGCCAAGCAAGUCGGGUUUUGAAGGUACCAAUAAAAUACUAGGCUUUGAUUCUCCAAAUUUGCACACACGGCUUCAUGAUAUGCUAGAUGAAUGAUAUGCAUGAGUGAAGUGACGUGAUUAAUAUAUGAUGAUGAUUUAUGUAAUAGCUAAGCCAGAUGCUCAUAUAUAGGGAGGUAGGAAUUUUGGGCUAGGAUAAUGGCCAUGUAUACGUGAUUCUUCAACACCUACUUCAAGCUCAACAACUGUUGUCGCACCUCAGGACUCGAUUUGAAACACGGAGAGAGUUUGUACUUGUGUAGACUGCAUUUGCCCUAAUAUAUUGGGUAUCUGUACCGAUUUUCCCAAUCACAAGUUAUGGAGUAGUCUCAUCAUCAUAAGAUCUCAAAUUGGCUUGCCCCAACAUCUUGAAACUGUAUUCCCUUGAUUUACCAUUCCUGGGAGUGAUUGACUUAUCAUGCUCUUGAGGUGGCCUCCCCCAAAAUGAGCCUUGAAAUAACUUGGCCCAUAUUUGGCUGAUUCAGAGAGAUUUGUUGAAUCUUGACGUGAUUUCCCCAGAUUGACUAUACCCUGGAGAGAUCUGGGCUAUGGGAUAUCAGAAGAAAUGUUCAAUCUUCCUAUUAUGUAAUCUUUUUUGAUGUCAAGUUCCUGUUCACAAGUAAAAAUGCUCAUUUUGCAAAUGAUAAUUGUAACAUAAUGCUCAUGCAAAAUUUGAAACUCAAGUGUGUUCACUAAGAUUAUGACAUCUAGCUAAUGAAUCACUGAUUACAAUGCCAUAUCAGCAUUAAUACAAUUGACAAGCAAAUUUUUAUGAGUCAGCUUUGACGCGAUCUUACCCUAGUAUGCUUUCGAAAUAAAUCUUGCUUCAAUUAGGUCUUUUGAGGGUUGUAACGUGGCCUGGUUCACGGUUUUCAUAAAGAAAGGAUAUAAGGCUCAAAACCUAUUCUGACCCACUCAUUCUCCAUGAUAUUCUCCAGUCUUACAUUCAGUUAGCUUGAAACAAACGUCCAUUUUUCAGAAAAGGAUUUUGAAUUUCGGUAAUUAUGGUUAUGACACCCAUUAAGAGUAUAGAGUGACAAUCACUCACCUUUUUCUUUGAUUUGCAGCCACAGAGAUUUGCUUUUACCGAGGAAUUUUUUUAUUGAUCCUCUAUUCUUAUUUUGCUUUACUUUCCCUUAUUUUUUCCUGGGUUGAUCCUUUGGGUCUGCAGCCCAUCGGGAUGCCCUAACUUUUGCCUAAGUCACUCUUGUUUUCAAACUCUUGAUUUAGCGGGCUUUUCUUUUGCUUUUGAUUUUUUUUCCAUUUCAUAUUUUCUUUUUGUAUUGGAGAAAAUCAUGUGACCUUGUACUUUCUUGAUUUGGAUUUGUUGCAAGGUUUGUGACUGUCUCACUCCUUUUGUAGGUAAGGGAUAACCAUUCUAAAUGUGUGAUUACAUCCUCUUGAGAGGGAUAUGAUAUGAUUGAUCACUUGAUGGGAUAUUCUUCUUCUGAAAUUUGAAUGCAAGUUCAAACUAACCGAAGACUACCCUGCCCCUGGUUAAACAUGAUGGUUUUAUGUGUAAAGAAAGAAACUCCUACUUCAAGGCCCAAACGGGUUGACUAGGGAUUAUCUUCCUUAUAUCUCCGGUGUUUAGGGAUUAAAAAAUGACUUUCAUCAUCAGCACGGUUUUAUUCAAAAGUAUACAGGUAACGACCGUGCGUACUCUAUAUUGCAUCAUUGUCUUUGGAUUUUGCUUGAGCAACAACUUGAUACUGAUAAUAAAAUAUGAGUGAACACGAAUUGAUUUAAACAAGACAUGCACAUUUAUUUCAUCAUUAUUAUCAUCUGAAAACCAGACAAGUUUUACAAAUGAACAACAUAUAACAAACAAGAAAGGAUUACAAAUGAGGCAUGAUUGAACAAUAUGAUAUUGCUACCCUUGGUACUCCUCUGAAGAGGUAACUGAAUUUGAGUAAUUCUCGCCAAUAACUGCAUUCACUAUCUAUCCAUAGUGAUCUGGAAAUAGGUUAGUUAUGACAUUAGGCCCUGCCUCAGAGAAGGACAAGAUCCUCUGAUCAAUCAACUCUUGAACCCUGGUCUUGAACAUCCCACAAUCUUCGGUUGAAUGCCCUAUAUAGUCGGCGUGAAACGCACAAGAAGCAUUAGGAUUAUACUUCAGGCCAUAAGGAUAAAUAGUUGGUGGUAUUUAUUUUGACACAAUGGCUCCUUGCUAAACAAGAUAUGGUAGUAACUGAGCAUAUGAUACAUGGAUUCGGUCACGUUGAUGACGCUUCUUAUCAUAAUGUCUUCCCUGAUCCUGGCUCUGGUUUCUGUUAUCUUGCGGAGGUCUUUGAUUCUAAGAAACUGGAGCCUAUGGAGGCUACUAAUACUGAGGUUGAUAUGCAAGUUGUUGAUAUUGGCAGCGAUAAUGUACUGAUAAGGGUAGUAUGGCACAUGAGCCAUAUGUGCUUGAACUUAAGGGUAGACACUUGCUAUCACAUCACUUGCCUCAGCCUCUUUCUUCUUAGCAAAACCCUGAGAUUUCUUUACCAUUGUUUGAUUAUCAGCACUAGCAAUCUUUCAUGUUUUCAGCCCAUUAUCAAUAUGUUCUCCAAUGGUUACUAUGUCGGCAAGGUUGGACGACGAGCUGCCAACCAUCUUCUCAUAGUACAUACCUUGAAGAGUGCUCAUGAAAAUAUCAACCAAUUUAGCGUGUGUCAGCGUAGGUCUAACUCGGGAAGCCAUUUCACGCUACCUCUGAGUGUAUUAUUUGAACGUUUCACUGCUCUUGCAGGCUUGAAUUUGUAGUUGUAACCUGUUGGGAGCUAUAUCCAGGUUAUACUUAUAUUGCUUGAGGAACGCUCUAGAAAAGUCCUUCCAAGAUCUGAUUUUACUGCGUUCCAAGAUCAUGUACCAAUCCAAGGAUUCCCUGGAUAGGUUGUCCUGGAAGUAAUGGAUAAUAAGCUCAUCAUUAUCAAUGUAGGAUGCCAUCUUCCUACAAUACAUAAUAACAUAACUUAUCAGACAGCUUUAACCCUUGUAUUUUGGUAGGUAUGGCACUUUAAACUUAGGAGGAAACACCACAUUAGGAACUAGACAUAAGUCUUUAGCAUCCAUAUCGUAAAUAGAGAAACCUUCAUUGGCUCUUAUCCUCUCAUCUAGUAAUCGAUAGUAUGCAUGUCUGUCCUUAUCUGAACCAAAAGCAAUUUGAUUAGCAGGUUGAGGAUUAGCUUUAUGGUUGGGGAAUUGAACACCCCGAGAAGUUUCUUGAGCAAUAACUGAAGGAGAAGCAAAGUGGGGAUACCCUUGAGGAUACAUCAAUCCCGGAUUAACCAUUUGACCAGCAGUCUGACCAUACUGACCCUGACAUGGAGCACAGGGUGCCCCAGGAUACACAAAUAGAGGUGCAACAAUAGAAGAUACCCCAGGGUAAGGAGGAGGUGCAUGAACACCUUGAUUCAAAUUCUGAACAGUAGGUUGAGUAGCCCGAGGAGGAACAUGAAAAUGAAGGUGGGGCCCUCUGUACUCAUCUUCAUUAUCAUCAGGAGUUUCAAUAACUGGUUUAGAAGUCUAAAGAGCACGUUCUGGAUUGAUCUCACGGUUCUCGGCACUAACCAUCUAAGGAGAGUGAGUGGUCAUGCCCCAAGGAUGGGCAACAAAUUUACCAUUAGCAUGAUGCACAACAAACGGUUGAUAUGGUAUAAAAGUAUUCCCACUAGCAACAUAGGGAGUAACUUAGGGAGUAAAGUUUGGAUGAAACCCCCACGGACAGGAAGCAGCACGCCUACUAGGUCCUGACUGACAGAUUAGCUGGCUUACCAUAGGUUGAAUUACAGUGUCAACAACAACACCCACAGAAGAGGUGACAACAAUGGCAUCAGUAACCACAACAGUAGCAGGAUUGGCAGAAGUAGAGGCAGCCUUCUGAGCUUGAAGGUACUCCAUUAUGGUGUUCAUGUUACCUUGGAAGGUAUCUAUUUUGCCUUGUAACUGAGCCAAGGUUUCCCUAUAGGUAGCGUUCUCUUGUUCCAUAUCUAUAAUAAUUAUCAAUUUGUUAGCUCUCAUGAAGUAUUGGUGUCAAAGACUCGUCGUCUUUUUGGAUGAGAAAAGGACAAGGUGAGCUUUUUCUGGUUGAUAGGCAUGAGAUGCAAAUGAAUGAAUGCAUAUGUGGGGGAUGGAGUGCAAAUAAUUAUGCAACAUCCAUAGAUUCAAAGCAUUGAUGGUAUAAUAACUCGGGUUCAAAAGUAUGGCAUAUAUACAACAAUGCAGCAAUGGUAUACAAUAAUGUAUGUUAGCAACACAAAAUAAUCAGGAUAGUCUGUGAUACUGCCUGGUGCAGGAUCAAAGGUUCGACGUACAUGAGAAUGAAGGUAUGUAGAGUCUAUGGUUUCCUGCCAAAAAACCCAUAUCCCCCUCACAUUUAGGUUUUAUCCUUCAAAGGCAACCCUAAAAAGGUUCCUAGAGUCGAGGACCCAUUUUGAGAUACCAUUGCCUUAGACGACUGACUCGUCGGACAAUGAUGCUCUCAAAAGGAUCUACUCUAGGUGGGACGUCUCGUGUCAACCAUGAUCGCAGAAUAACUCCACGGAUGUCAAACACGACUCUAGUCACAUUAUAUCAUAUGUCUAUGCUUAAGCAUGGGUAUAGAGUUUCUCUCUCAUGUAACAUAGCCCAACCCAAGAGAGAGUAUAACAGAUAAUAUCUAGUAUAAACAAUAUUUAAAGCAAUAAAUAAUGCGAUAAAUAAAGUGAGUAAAACAUGAAGGUAAACAUCCAAGCAAAACAGAGAAGCAAUAAAAACUAGGCUCGACUCCUUUUGGCAACUAGGGAGUAUCCCAAGUAGCAGGAAGUCCUAAACAGAGUCCCCAGCUGAAGCUGGGAAUGCUAAAGAAGAGAUCCCCAACUGCAAGCAAACUCCCUAGCAGAGUCGCCAAAUAAAGCUAGCGGAAAUAUACCUGAAUGCAUCACACGCUCGAACAUACAAUAGAGUCGCCAUCAAACUUUAUUUAUUCCCGAAUGAAAGGGAAAACAUCGAUAAAACCCGGGGAAAGAGAUACUGGGUAAGGAAGUCAGUUAUGCAAGGGGAAUGUAUUAGCACCCCUAACAUCCGUUGUACUCAACAGGAACCAUUUUGAUUGUUCUUGCUCGAAUGGGUGUUAUAUCUAAAGUUACUCGCAAAAGAAUGAAGGAAAAAAUAAUGGAAUAUAUAAAGUGCUCGGUGAGGAUUGGGGCCCUUAUGCCUAUGUAUCCUUAUAGUGCAAUAAGGAAUUCAGAGCUUUGUAGUUCAUAGAACUAAUGAUGAGAGAUGAAAUAAAAGUGAUAACAAGUAUGGUUUGAACCAAAGGAUUAUAUUGUUUGACUCCAAAAAGGGUAGGUAUGUUUGAACCAACGGGAAAACUGGCAUCAAGCUAAAACAAAAGGGGUACCCUGGCAUCAAGCCAAAAUAGGGGUAUACGAGCAUCAAGCCAAAAAUAAAUGGAAAUUGGUUCAGAAGAUGAACACUGGAUUGAGCUCAAAGAAAUAGUGUAUUUGGCUAAAAUAAAAAUUAUAUCACAUGAAGUGAAUGAAGGUAGAAGACCUUGAGUGUAGGUAAUGAGUAUUGAAUAAUGGAAAGUGAAUGAUAGGGUAAAGAUAAAUAAUUAAUCUGGAAAGAGUUGAAGGAUUUGGUAAAAAUGAUAGAAGGUAUAGUUUGGUACCAAAGGACAAUGGCGUUAUUGGGAUCCAUCAAGGAAAUGAAAUUUGAAACAUAGAGUAAACAAGCAUCAAGCCCAAAAAGAAAGGAAUUGAGUGUUUGGCAUCAAGGAAAAUAUCUCUUGGUACAAAUGUGGAGACUGGUUAAUUGUUCUAAAAGGGUAUAUGUAGAAUCCCAGGGAAAACUGGUAUUUGGUUCCAAAGAAACAGCGUGUCACUAGGGUGACUGGUUAUGAUUGAAGGUAGAUGAUGGAUCAUGAAAGAUAUGGAUGGUUCCCUAAAGCAGAAAGGAAUAAUUAGGAAUUAGUUUGGAUGUGUUGAUUAGAGAUUUGGUUUGAAGAUUUAUGGGAAAAUUGUGGAGAUUAGAAUUGAUGUCAGUAUAGGAAAAGCACAUUAUAAAUAUUGUUAGAAAAAAGUGUAGCUUAGUAUAUUGAAUAUAUCUGGAAAUAAAUUGUAUGGAAAUGUUACAAUUUUAUGGAAUGUGCAAUUGAAUUUGGUGAAAUGAAAAUGUUCAUUGUAUUUGUGGUUGAAGUUUGUUUGAACUUGUAAUGUUGUAAUGGAUUGAAUACUUAUUGAAUUGGUUUUUAAUGUUUUUAAAAGUUAAUGAAAGUUUGUUUGAAAUGGAUCUAACUAUUAAUGAUUGAAAUGAAUUUGAAGAUUAGUUUAAUGGAACACAAUUGUAAAGGAUAAUGGAUUUAAAUGUCAAUUAAAAAGGUUUUGGAAAAUUAAUGUCAAAUGGUUUUAAGGGUUUGAAAAGGUUAAUGCUAAAAUGGUUUUAAGUUAACUUGAAAUUGAUUUGAAAAAGUUUUGAAAUGUUAAUCAAAAUUUGAAUGUGAAAGUAUUCAAUCAUGGAAAGUAUAAAUGAAUAUGGGAAUUAGAAAUUGAAUUAAAUGAAAUAUGGAAAUCUAAAUGGAAUUAGUCCUAUGGGAUUUGGAAAGAAUAGUUCGUAAUUGAAUGGUUUAAUGAAAAAUAAGAUGAAAUGAAGAAUGAACACAAGUUUAGGUCCAAAAAUUAGCAACAAAAAUGGAAUGAUUUGGCUUGUUAAACUAUGAAAUAACUUGAACAAAACCAAAUGAGCAUGGGCUUGAAGAUAACUUAUGGGUGAUGGUUGACUUUGGUCAACUUGUUGGCCAAAAAGUCAACAGUUGACCAAAGUCAACAGUGGGUUAGGAUUAUAGGGUUUUGAAUUGCUUAAUGGAGAUGCAAGGACUUGUAAUGCACUCAUGGUUUUGAAUGAAUAAUGGCAUGGUUUAAGUGUAACAAGUGGCUUAUGUAGCCUUCAAAACUUACCAAGUAAAAUGAAUGCAAUUGACCAAAGGACCAAUGUACACAUAUACAUCAAGGGUGAAUGAAUUGUAAUGUCUUAUGAACCAAAUGACAAAUAAAGGACCAAAAGACCAGUGCACUAAUGCAACAUGAAUCAAAGGCCUAUGAAUCUUGAAAGUACUACAUGGAUGGCUUUCUAAACAAAACCUUGAACCAAAGGAAAUCCCCAGCAAGUGGACAUGUAAGCCAAGAGCCUCUUCCCAAUGGAUUAGGGUUUCAGAUGCAUAGAUAAAAGCUCAUGAGGUCAAAGGAUAGUAAAGUCAAGAAUUAGGUUUUGAAUGAAUAAGUUAGUAUCAUGAUGUAGACUCCAUGAAUUAAGAUCCAAGAGAGCAUGAAAUUAGGUUUUUCAUUCCAUGUGAUGAGCAAUUCUCCAAUCCUCAAACAAACCCUAGUUUGAAUUAACCACAAACUUUGAAUCCAUGAUACUUGUAUUAAUAUGAAUGCAUGAUGCAUAUGAAUGAAGUGUGAAUGGGUACAGAUGAAUCUUAAGUUAUAGGUUGAGUAAAAAGAUGAAAAGGGGAGGGAAAAGUUUGGGGUACGACACAUUAGAAGGGCCUUCAACAUUUGUGUCACCCUUUGUUGCAGUUUCAUCUAUAAUGGAAACAUAUGAUAAAUCGAAGGUAUUAAGGAAAAUAAUUUGAAUGACUAAAUAUAUACCUAUUUUAUUCUAUGGGUUAUCUUGUAAGCUAGAUAAGGCAGUCAACAUCCUCUUACAAAAAAACUGUUCAGAAAAGUGGCCUUGAAAGUAGGUUGUCCACGAGUUGUCGAAUUCUAAUGUUAGAAAGAAAGAUUGCUGGAAGUGGGAAGUAGGAAGUUCGAGAGCUUGCUGACAAGCGAAGGCCAUACAGUCUCUAUAUUCUGUUGGAGUAAAUUUCCUUUUGGACCAGCAAAUUCCAUUCUCCCAAGAGUAGAGCGAGCUUGGCAUAAUUUGGCUAAAAGUGAACUGUCUAGCCACUUUUUGGGUUAAUAGCGAAUAAAACCAAAGCCAGCAGUUCCAGUUUCAAUUUGAGUUGAAAGGAGUGUUGGUGUUUAAAAGGUUGCCCAUACAGAGUUCGACAUUGUAGUGUCUGAAGGGGUUACACUAGGGAAUUUGUUUUGAACCCACGAUGGACUAAUACACCUAUCCACAAAAGGAGCCAUGGUUGAAACAAAAAAUUUCAAAUCAAGGAAAAGAUUGAUGUAUUUCAUAAAGGUUAUUUCUUAGGAGUUGUCAUAAGGGGUAACCAAGGAAAGUCUCGUACCUUCGAUGCUCAUAUUGUCGGUUUCUUCUAGCAAAGCUUUUGGAUGUGUUAAUUGCAACUUAGGUUCAAACGUAGCGCUUAAUCAGAGUUGUAAAAUCCAUAGAGGGACAUAGAAAAGGUAUGAUUUGUUGAUUUCCAGAAGGUGUUUCAACUUGUAAUAAGCGUUUCCAAGUGAAUGAUAUAAAUUAGCUAAAAGCAGUUUGGCUAAAGAAAUAUUUCGACCCUCGUGGAGUUGGAUUUCUAGAGGGAUGUCUUUUUAGCUAUCUAUAAAGAUCCUGAGCAGAAGACAUAGUAAGAGAAACAAAGGGUCGAGAAAGAGAUGUGUUCUUGGUUGGAGACCUCUUUAGUUUUCUUGUCAUGGUGGUCGAUAAUGAAGUUUUUGAAGCUAAAGCUUUCGGAAAAAAAAUCAUGGUCAGUUUCUAUGGUAGGGGUGAAAGUUUUGCUAGAGGGUUCAGUCCCAUGAUGGCUGCUACGUUGAACAAGGUUGGCAUAAGCAUUCCACAAGGGAACUAGAAAGUGUUAGUCGAACCUUCCUAAAAGAAGAUUGGCGUAAGUAACAUGGUUGGGUUAUACCUAGGUCCAGUUCUAGAAGUUUGAAUCAUGUCGAAGAUAUCUAGGUCUUCCCAUUGUUUUUGUCUUUUUCUUUCGACUUUAUUGAGCAAAACAAUAUACUUUUUGUUUUGGGUAGGAGGCGCAGAUUGAAAGACGCGCGCAGGUUUUUUUGUGAAGGAUAAAUCGAGAGAGCAUUCUUCAAACGCUAAAGGCAUGGUGACAGGAUAACAUGGGAAAAAGUUCUUCACUUUUUUAGGUUGAGAUUUAGCAGUUGGGUAUGAUCCUAAGAAUGCUAACAGUUUACUAAAAAGUGAAAAGGGAAUGAGUAUUUUUUUUUCUAAAUGGAGAUUUUCUCUUUAGCCAUUGGAGGUUCAGGUAUGAAAUACCUUCCUUCAUUAGUUUCUGAUGGCAAAAUCAUGUAAACCAUUGGAUUCUUUCCAAUACCAGAUUUGUUGGAUGAAGUGUUGGUUGCCAUUGUUGAAGUUUGAAGAGCUUGACGUGAAAAAGGGUUUUCUCUGUGUGUGAAAAUUUGAUAGUGAAAGUGAAGAAGAUGAGAAGAGAGUAUUAUGGAGUAUUUAUAGAGUUUCUUUCCUUCCCAAUAGCAGACACUUGGCGGACGUGUGUUAAUGUGAGGGGUUUCCUAUUUCAAGAAGUGGAAAAUAUUGAUGUGAGUGGAGCAGAUAAUGAGACAUGCAAAAGCAUGAUCUCCUAUAAAAUAGGAGCAAUAAUGGGAUUCUUAGAGUAUUUUCUGGAAAAUGACAAUGCACGUAAAGUGGUAAUGAUGAUGAUGUCGCGUAAGAAGAUGAACAAUGUCAAAUAUAUGAUAAAAAAACUCCACCUUUCUAAUUUUUAUUCAAAAUCGAAACAUGGCAUUUUGGGGGGCAACUUGUUAUCUCAAAUUUUCGACACCAGCAUUCAAUUACAGGAAUAUGAUAAGAAUCAUGUAAUAAUGAUUUUAGUGAAAAAUCGAAAUGGCUAGUUAUAGCCAUAAAGAUCUCGAAGAACUUGAUUUGUCGAAAAAGGGACCUAAUUAUGGUCGAAAUCAUAGUCAGACAAAGACCAUGGAUUUUUUUGGGACUUAGUGAAAUUCAGAAUUUCCAUGAUAUGCUCUAUAGUCGAAUGAGGUGUAGAGAGGAUAAGAUCAAAUAGUUAUUGAAGGACACAUGGAAGCUUGUCGGAGACGGAAGUUGCAUGGAAGCAAAUACGUGGAAUACUCUGCUUAGUCGACCGUUAUAGAUGGUUAAUUUAGGAUUAGUAUAUAAGUAGCAUUCACUUUGAGUUUUAGGGGUCCACAAAUUCUACAAAACUCAAAGUAUCUGUGUGAUUGAGAAAAGAGUUAAGAAUGUAUGUAUGUGUUCCACUUUUUACAAAUUAAAGUCUAUGUUCAAAUCAUUCUCUACAAUUGAAUUACUUUCAGUCACUUUAUUUUAAGUUCUUUGCAUUCUGAUUUAAGUUUCAAUUCCAGUUAUUAUUCUCAAACUUUACAUUUCGACAUUGAUGUCAAAAUAUUUUAAAAGCUUAUGAUUCACACAAAUAUGACUCGGGAUCUUUUUGAGUUUAAUCCCUGAAGUAAAUUCAAACUUUUUUUUGUUUACUAAAUUUCACGGUAAACAAUGAUAUCACCUUCUUGCAUUAACUUGCUAAUUUGGAAAUCUUUCAUAAUCAGUGAGCCUCACUGAUUCAGAUCUUGCUCUUGUGGAUCUUCUGACAUGUUGCUCAGGUGCUUCUCUUUCAUGAGUUAGUACCUCUUUAUUUGGUUCUUCUUCCUCUUUGAGCAUAUUUCUUAUUGCAUCUAGUUAAGAUUGAGAUUACUAGUUAGUCCAAUCCAAGUUUUUUAUUUCAUCUACUUGAACAUCUUGAAUGAUCACUAGGUUACCAUCAUCUCGUGAAUACAAUUUGUAAGCACCAAUCGAAUGAUAGUCAUUAAGAACCAUUACUUGACUUCUAUCAUCCAAUUUUCUUCUCAAUUGUUCAGGUACAUGCCUGAAGCACAUUGAUCCAAAAACCUUUAAGUGACCAACACUUGGCUUUGAUCAUGUCCAAGCCUCAUAAGGUAUCUUCUCGACUAUCUUCUUGGUUAUACAUCUAUUUAGAAUGUAUAUUAUUGUCAAAGUUAUUUUAGCCUAAAAUAUGCUUGGCAGUUCUUUAGCUUUCAACAUGUUCCUGGUCAUGUUCAAUAUACUUAUGUUUUUCCAUUCAAUUAUACCAUUAUGUUGAUGUGUAUAGGGAGCAAUGACCUCGUGCUCUAUACCUUCAUUAUUGCAAUAUUCUAAAAAUUCUCUAGAAGUGUACUCACCUCCACCAUCAAUUUUUAGUCUCUUUAACAUGCACCCACUUUGUUUCUCAGCAUGCAACUUAAACUUCUUGAAUUGUGUAAAUACUUUACUCUUCUUUUUAAUGAGGUAAAUCCACAUAUAUCUGGUGAACUCAUCUAUUAAACUCAGGAAAUAGUAGUUACCUCUGUUUGACCUUACCGCAAACAGUCCACACACAUCAUAGUAAUAAAGCUCCAGUUUUUCCUUCGACUUCAUAGGCAAGUCAUGCUUAAAUGUCUUCCUUUCUUGCUUUUAUCUGCAAUACUCUUCACAUAUCUGACUUGGUUCAUUUAUCUGAGGUAGAUUAUACACCAUCUUCUUUUGGUUGAGCAUAGUUAAACCUAUAAUGUUCAAAUGUCCAUACCUUUGGUGCCACAACCAGUUUUUGUCUUUUGCUGCAGUCGAACCAGGAUAUUGAUUAUCAAUUCCAUUUAUCUCAAUUUUGAAGGUUUUAUUGUCUGUUAAGGGUGCCUUCAGGAUCAACCUUCUCUCACCAUUAUAUACCUUCAUCUGAUUUGCUUCCACCUUCAUGAUAAACCCUUCGAUAAGUAAUUAACCUAUGCUUAUCAAAUUACUUGUCAUUUAAUGCACAUACAACACAUCAGUGAUGGUAGCCUUCUAACCAUCUUUCUUUAAUACAACUAUGUUACUUUUCCCUUUUGAUGUAACAUACAUGUCAUCUGUAAAUAUGAUCACUUUCUUAAUUGAUUCAUCUAACUUGAUGAACCAAAUUUUAUCCCCAAUCAUGUGAUUUCUGCAUCCUAAAUCUAGGUACCACAUAUUGGUUUAUUCACCAUUCGACUGAGUAUUGGUAAUG